GAUGAGCAUUCGCUGUUGGUCAGAUGCUCUGCUAACAGCUCCGUGUGCAUAUUCUCCGUAUGGCCUGCAAUAACCCAGAAAGACAGGAAUGUCGUUAUUCCCUUUUUCCUCCAAGGAAACUGAGAAAUUUCAGCUCUUGAAUAACUAGCAAGAGGACAAUUUGAAUGGAGAGGCUCUGAUUUUGAACCUGUGCUCUCAACCAGGGAGCCAAAUUGUGUCUCUGACCCCAGGAGGAAGGGCACAGGAACCAGCUCUGAGCACCAGCAGCCUUUGGACAUGCAGGUGGGGAGGGUGUAGCCGCUAGGAAGCAGCAGAGGGGAGGAGGCCUGGGAGGGGGACUGGAAAGGUAAGCAGUGUGUGGCAGAACUGGAAUUCUAGCUCACAUCAUCCCACACAAAGGCUUCCAUGCGUAACUCCCACGGUGCCUCCGGUUUUACUCAGAUCAAGUCCAGCUUUCAGUCGGGUGCAGGUGGCCCACUGCGCCCCGAGCACCCCGCAGGACAGCCGGGCUGUUGUCUUCCCCCAGGCAGGGCCACCUGAAGAGGAGUGGGUCUUGAUUCAAGGAGACCAGGGCAACAAGGUUUGACUCAUGACCCUGGGUGGGAGGGCCGGUGCUCUGCGCAGACUGGACAGAGCCUUGUGGACAUGGAUGGAGAAACACGGGCCCUUGUCACGGAAGUCCAGCUCUAUGUCCUUCUAAAGCCAUGCACACGCAUUUCACAUUAAUCCAAUGAAGAAUUUUAAAACAUGACCUAAACAGUGUGUAUGCAUAGAACAUUUAGUACAGUGCCUAGCCAAUAAAAACAAUUAAAAUAUU